AAAAAGUCUGUAAAGCAUGCAAAUGCCAACGUACCUGUACGCACCACUCAGAGACCUGCUAGCAUGACAAGACCCUCGGCCAUCUUUAUGCAAGGCGAUGGAGACCGACUGAUUUCUCCGUCUUCUUGCUCACAAGUUUUAGAGAUGCGGUUGUCACACACACCAAAAAUUGUACGCUGAACAGCUUGAAAGCCUGUGAUCACGAGGACUGAAUUUAUCAACGGCAAAACAGGGACUGAAAAAACUAAGUUCCUUAUCCAAGGAUUCUCUGAGGCUGCCACCAAGGAGGUGCUGGGCUGAAUUUUUUUUUCUCUCUCCCUUACUCCUCUGAGAGUUCAAAGCUCAGAGCUGACCACUGCAAAGGCCACUGUCACAUUUGCUGAAAAUCAAACCACUGAGACCGGCUCUGCGAAUACGAACGUGAGAACCGGAGUUGCUUGCACAGGGCGCAGUGCCUGUGAGUUAAAAAUAGAGUCCACCUUGCCUCCUACCUGCAUAAUAAACAUGCAGUCGAAGGCAUUCCAUGCACUUAGGCAGUGCGGCUGCACGGUGAAUGAAUCGUCGAAUAAAUCGUCUGCUUCUGCAAAUCAAACAGUCCUUGUGCUAAGGAAGGAAGUCAGCUGGAGUGAAUACAGUCAUAUCCUCUUCUUGGAGAGAGCUUGCAAUGCAGUUCACAACCUACUAUCAAGAUACAGAAUCAGUGGUGACUACUGAGCCCAGUGAGUGCCUCCUCAGUCUGGGAUAAUAAAUGACAGUGACAGCAGCGGUCAUCCAUCCCAGGUUCCCUGGAGACGAGGGAUCUGGGUUUGAUUCCCAGCACCCACAUGGGGGCUCAAAACCAUCUAUAAUUCCAGUUCCAGAGAAUCCAACGGCCUCUUCUGAACUCUCUGAGCACCAGGCACACUUGUGAUACCCAGACAUAUAUGUGGCCAAAACGCUCAUACAUUAAAAAAAAAAAAGACUCUUAGAAAAUAAUGGGAUGAUAUUUUAGCUGACAUUUUUGAUAAAGUCCAUCACGGUUCUGAUGACUGUAUCUUGCCCAGAGAUCUGGGCGGGAACUUCUGUAUACUGACCAAAGCUGAAAACCAUCCUUAUUUUAACUAUGGUAUAUCAAUAAAUUCUAAUUUAACAAUACUAAUUGUAUCCUACAGUGUUAUUAUCAUCAGUUUUAAAGAUCACUGUUAUACUGAGACUAGGAUUGGAAUCUGAGAUUAGACGAUGGA
ensembl:lncRNA